CCUACGGGGGGCAGCAGUGGGGAAUAUUGGACAAUGGGGGGAACCCUGAUCCAGCCAUGCCGCGUGUGUGAAGAAGGCCCUCGGGUUGUAAAGCACUUUCAGUGAGGAAGAACGCCUGGUGGUUAAUACCCAUCAGGAAAGACAUCACUCACAGAAGAAGCACCGGCUAACUCCGUGCCAGCAGCCGCGGUAAUACGGAGGGUGCGAGCGUUAAUCGGAAUUACUGGGCGUAAAGCGCGCGUAGGUGGCUUGAUAAGCCGGUUGUGAAAGCCCCGGGCUCAACCUGGGAACGGCAUCCGGAACUGUCAAGCUAGAGUGCAGGAGAGGAAGGUAGAAUUCCCCGUGUAGCGGUGAAAUGCGUAGAGAUCGGGAGGAAUACCAGUGGCGAAGGCGGCCUUCUGGACUGACACUGACACUGAGGUGCGAAAGCGUGGGUAGCAAACAGGAUUAGAUACCCUGGUAGUC
rnacentral:rRNA from 1 species